UACGUAGGCAGCGAGCGUUGUUCGGAGUUACUGGGCGUAAAGGGUGCGUAGGCGGUUGUUUAAGGUUGGUGUGAAAUCUCCCGGCUCAACUGGGAGGGUGCGCCGAAUACUGAAUGACUAGAGUGCGGGAGAGGAUAGUGGAAUUCCUGGCGUAGCGGUGAAAUGCGUAGAUAUCAGGAGGAACACCGGUGGUGUAGACGGCUAUCUGGACCGUAACUGACGCUGAGGCACGAAAGCGUGGGUAGCAAACGGG
rnacentral:rRNA from 1 species